AGAGUUUGAUCCUGGCUCAGAACGAACGUUGGCGGCGUGGAUUAGGCAUGCAAGUCGAGCGGGAUUAGCUUUAUUCAAUUCUUCGGAAGAGAAAAUUGCUAUGAGAGCGGCGAACGGGUGAGUAAUAUAUGGGUAAUUUGCCUCUUUGUUCGGGAUAGCCAUCGGAAACGAUGAUUAAUACCGGAUGUGAUCGGUCACUGCAUAGUGACCUCUUUAAAGGUGGGGAAUCUUCGGAUCCUAUCGCAAAGAGAUAAGCCCAUACCCUAUCAGCUAGUUGGUGAGGUAAUGGCUCACCAAGGCUUACGGGUAGCUGGUCUGAGAGGAUGGUCAGCCACACUGGGACUGAGACACUGCCCAGACUCCUACGGGAGGCUGCAGUCGAGAAUCAUUGACAAUGUACGAAAGUAUGAUCAUGCGACGCCGCGUGGAGGAAGACGGCCUUCGGGUUGUAAACUCCUGUCAGCAGGGAGGAAAGGCAGCACUACUAAUAUCAGUGUUGUUUGACAGUACCUGCAGAGGAAGUCACGGCUAACUCUGUGCCAGCAGCCGCGGUAAUACAGAGGUGGCGAACGUUGUUCGGAUUUACUGGGCGUAAAGGGUCCGCAGGCGGUCCGGUGUGUCGGAUGUGAAAGCCCACGGCUUAACCGUGGAAUUGCAUUCGAAACUACCGGACUAGAGUACUGGAGGGGAGAAGGGAACACUU
rnacentral:rRNA from 1 species